rnacentral:rRNA from 1 species
CCUACGGGAGGCAGCAGUGAGGAAUAUUGGUCAAUGGACGAAAGUCUGAACCAGCCAAGUAGCGUGAAGGAUGACGGCCCUAUGGGUUGUAAACCGCUUUUAUAUGGGGAUAAAACAGGGUAUGCAUACCCUCUUGUAGGUACCAUAUGAAUAAGGAUCGGCUAACUCCGUGCCAGCAGCCGCGGUAAUACGGAGGAGCCGAGCGUUAUCCGGAUUUAUUGGGUUUAAAGGGAGCGUAGGUGGCUCGUUAAGUCAGUUGUGAAAGUUUGCGGCUCAACCGUAGAAUUGUAGUUGAAACUGGAAGUCUUGAGUACAGUAGAGGUAGGCGGAAUUCGUGGUGUAGCGGUGAAAUGCUUAGAUAUCACGAAGAACCCCGAUUGCGAAGGCAGCUCGCCGGACUGCAACUGACACUGAGGCUCGAAGGUGUGGGUAUCAAACAGGAUUAGAUACCCGAGUAGUC